rnacentral:rRNA from 1 species
GCUCUUCGAUUCAGCGGCGGACGGGUGAGUAAUACCUAGGAAUCUGCCUGGUAGUGGGGGACAACGUUUCGAAAGGAACGCUAAUACCGCAUACGUCCUACGGGAGAAAGCAGGGGACCUUCGGGCCUUGCGCUAUCAGAUGAGCCUAGGUCGGAUUAGCUAGUUGGUGAGGUAAUGGCUCACCAAGGCUACGAUCCGUAACUGGUCUGAGAGGAUGAUCAGUCACACUGGAACUGAGACACGGUCCAGACUCCUACGGGAGGCAGCAGUGGGGAAUAUUGGACAAUGGGCGAAAGCCUGAUCCAGCCAUGCCGCGUGUGUGAAGAAGGUCUUCGGAUUGUAAAGCACUUUAAGUUGGGAGGAAGGGCAGUAAGCGAAUACCUUGCUGUUUUGACGUUACCGACAGAAUAAGCACCGGCUAACUCUGUGCCAGCAGCCGCGGUAAUACAGAGGGUGCAAGCGUUAAUCGGAAUUACUGGGCGUAAAGCGCGCGUAGGUGGUUCGUUAAGUUGGAUGUGAAAUCCCCGGGCUCAACCUGGGAACUGCAUCCAAAACUGGCGAGCUAGAGUAGGGCAGAGGGUGGUGGAAAUUUCCUGUGUAGCGGUGAAAUGCGUAGAUAUAGGAAGGAACACCAGUGGCGAAAGGCGACCACCUGGGCUCAUACUGACACUGAGUGCGAAAGCGUGGGGAGCAAACAGGAUUAGAUACCCUGGUAGUCCACGCCGUAAACGAU